AUUGAACGCUGGCGGCAUGCCUUACACAUGCAAGUCGAACGGUAACGCGGGGCAACCUGGCGACGAGUGGCGAACGGGUGAGUAAUACAUCGGAACGUGCCCAGUAGUGGGGGAUAGCCCGGCGAAAGCCGGAUUAAUACCGCAUACGACCUACGGGUGAAAGCAGGGGAUCGCAAGACCUUGCGCUAUUGGAGCGGCCGAUGUCAGAUUAGGUUGUUGGUGGGGUAAAAGCCUACCAAGCCGACGAUCUGUAGCUGGUCUGAGAGGACGACCAGCCACACUGGGACUGAGACACGGCCCAGACUCCUACGGGAGGCAGCAGUAGGGAAUCUUGCGCAAUGGGCGAAAGCCUGACGCAGCCAUGCCGCGUGAAUGAUGAAGGUCUUAGGAUUGUAAAAUUCUUUUACCGGGGACGAUAAUGACGGUACCCGGAGAAGAAGCCCCGGCUAACUUCGUGCCAGCAGCCGCGGUAAU
rnacentral:rRNA from 1 species